AUUGAACGCUGGCGGCAGGCCUAACACAUGCAAGUCGAGCGGAUGAAGGGAGCUUGCUCCUGGAUUCAGCGGCGGACGGGUGAGUAAUGCCUAGGAAUCUGCCUUGUAGUGGGGGAUAACGUCCGGAAACGGGCGCUAAUACCGCAUACGUCCUGAUGGAGAAAGUGGGGGAUCUUCGGACCUCACGCUAUCAGAUGAGCCUAGGUCGGAUUAGCUAGUUGGUGGGGUAAAGGCCUACCAAGGCGACGAUCCGUAACUGGUCUGAGAGGAUGAUCAGUCACACUGGAACUGAGACACGGUCCAGACUCCUACGGGAGGCAGCAGUGGGGAAUAUUGGGCAAUGGGCGAAAGCCUGAUCCAGCCAUGCCGCGUGUGUGAAGAAGGUCUUCGGAUUGUAAAGCACUUUAAGUUGGGAGGAAGGACAGUAAGUUAAUACCUGGCUGUUUUGACGUUACCAACAGAAUAAGCACCGGCUAACUCCGUG
rnacentral:rRNA from 1 species